rnacentral:rRNA from 1 species
GGUUAAGUUACUAAGGGCACACGGUGGAUGCCUUGGCGCUAGGAGCCGAAGAAGGACGCAGCGAACUGCGAUAAGCCUCGGGGAGCGGUAAGCACGCUUUGAUCCGGGGAUCUCCGAAUGGGGCAACCCACCAUCCGUAAUGGGAUGGUAUCCGUAUCUGAAUCCAUAGGGUACGAGAAGGCAGACCCGGUGAACUGAAACAUCUAAGUAGCCGGAGGAAGAGAAAACAAUAGUGAUUCCGUCAGUAGCGGCGAGCGAACGCGGAAGAGCCUAAACCGUCGGGUUUACCCGGCGGGGUUGUGGGACGUCUCACUAGGAGUUACAAAAGACUCUUGUAGAUGAACAGUUUGGGAAAGCUGACCAAAGAGCGUGACAGUCGCGUAAUCCAAACAAGAGUCUCUCCGAGACGGAUCCCGAGUAGCGCGGGACACGUGAAAUCCCGUGUGAAUCUGGCAGGACCAUCUGCUAAGGCUAAAUACUACCUAGCGACCGAUAGUGAACCAGUACCGUGAGGGAAAGGUGAAAAGCACCCCGGGAGGGGAGUGAAAUAGUACCUGAAACCGUGUGCUUACAAAUAGUCGGAGCCCGUUAAAAGGGUGACGGCGUGCCUUUUGUAGAAUGAACCGGCGAGUUACGGUAGCGUGCGAGGUUAAGUCGAAGAGACGGAGCCGCAGCGAAAGCGAGUCUGAAUAGGGCGCAAGUACGUUGCCGUAGACCCGAAACCGUGUGAUCUAGCCAUGUCCAGGGUGAAGGUAGGGUAACACCUACUGGAGGCCCGAACCCACGCACGUUGAAAAGUGCGGGGAUGAGGUGUGGCUAGCGGUGAAAUUCCAAUCGAACUCGGAGAUAGCUGGUUCUCCCCGAAAUAGCUUUAGGGCUAGCCUCGGAAUUAGAGUCUUGGAGGUAGAGCACUGAUUGGGCUAGGGGCCCUCAUCGGGUUACCGAACUCAGUCAAACUCCGAAUGCCAAUGACUUAUGUCCGGGAGUCAGACGGUGAGUGCUAAGAUCCAUCGUCAAAAGGGAAACAGCCCAGACCAUCAGCUAAGGUCCCCAAGUAUACGUUAAGUGGGAAACGAUGUGGAGUUGCCCAGACAACCAGGAUGUUGGCUUAGAAGCAGCCACCAUUUAAAGAGUGCGUAAUAGCUCACUGGUCGAGUGACUCUGCGCGGAAAAUGUAACGGGGCUAAACGUAUCACCGAAGCUAUGGCAGUCCUUACGGACUGGGUAGGGGAGCGUUCCAAGCAGCAGUGAAGCCGUACUGGAAAGAGCGGUGGAGCGCUUGGAAGUGAGAAUGCCGGUGUAAGUAGCGAAAAGACAAGUGAGAAUCUUGUCCACCGAAAGCCUAAGGGUUCCUGGGGAAGGCUCGUCCUCCCAGGGUUAGUCGGGACCUAAGCUGAGGCCGAAAGGCGUAGGCGAUGGACAACAGGUUGAUAUUCCUGUACCACCUCUGUUCCGCUUGAGCAAUGGCGUGACGCAGGAGGAUAGGGUGAGCGGCCUACUGGAUGGCCGUCCAAGCAGUGAGCCUGGUGUGUAGGCAAAUCCGCACAUCGUAAGGGCAAGCUGUGAUGGCGAGGGAAAUUUUAGUACCGAAGUCCCUGAUUUCACACUGCCAAGAAAAGCGUCUAGCGAGGAACAAGGUGCCCGUACCGCAAACCGACACAGGUAGGCGAGGAGAGAAUCCUAAGGUGCGCGGGAUAACUCUUGCUAAGGAACUCGGCAAAAUGGCCCCGUAACUUCGGGAGAAGGGGCGCCCCGGUAGCGUGUCAAAGCGCGAGGGGGCCGCAGUGAAAAGGCCCAAGCGACUGUUUAGCAAAAACACAGGUCUCUGCGAAGCCGCAAGGCGAAGUAUAGGGGCUGACGCCUGCCCGGUGCUGGAAGGUUAAGGGGAUGAGUUAGCGCAAGCGAAGCUUUGAACCGAAGCCCCAGUAAACGGCGGCCGUAACUAUAACGGUCCUAAGGUAGCGAAAUUCCUUGUCGGGUAAGUUCCGACCCGCACGAAAGGCGUAACGACUUGGGCGCUGUCUCGGCAAGAGACCCGGUGAAAUCAUAAUACCUGUGAAGAUGCAGGUUACCCGCGACAAGACGGAAAGACCCCAUGGAGCUUUACUGUAGCCUGGUAUUGGAACUUUGUGCAUCAUGUACAGGAUAGGUGGGAAGCUGAGAAGCAGGGGCGCCAGCCUCUGUGGAGCUGUCGGUGGGAUACCACCCUUGAUGUACGGAGUUUCUAACUCGUCGCCCUGAUCGGGCGAGAGGACCAUGCCAGGUGGGCAGUUUGACUGGGGCGGUCGCCUCCCAAAAGGUAACGGAGGCGCCCAAAGGUUCCCUCAGAAUGGUCGGAAAUCAUUCGUAGAGUGUAAAGGCAGAAGGGAGCUUGACUGCGAGACCUACAAGUCGAGCAGGGACGAAAGUCGGGCUUAGUGAUCCGGUGGUUCCGCAUGGAAGGGCCAUCGCUCAACGGAUAAAAGCUACCCUGGGGAUAACAGGCUUAUCUCCCCCAAGAGUCCACAUCGACGGGGAGGUUUGGCACCUCGAUGUCGGCUCAUCGCAUCCUGGGGCUGAAGUAGGUCCCAAGGGUUGGGCUGUUCGCCCAUUAAAGCGGUACGCGAGCUGGGUUCAGAACGUCGUGAGACAGUUCGGUCCCUAUCUGUCGCGGGCGCAGGAAGUUUGAGGAGAGCUGUCCUUAGUACGAGAGGACCGGGAUGGACGCACCGCUGGUGCACCAGUUGUCACGCCAGUGGCACAGCUGGGUAGCUAUGUGCGGACGGGAUAAGCGCUGAAAGCAUCUAAGCGUGAAGCCCCCUCCAAGAUGAGACUUCCCACAGCGUUAAGCUGGUAAGACCCCUUAUAGACGAUGAGGUUGAUAGGUUCGGUGUGGAAGCGCGGCAACGCGUGGAGCUGACGAAUACUAAUCGGUCGAGGGCUUAUCCAC